rnacentral:rRNA from 1 species
CCCUUAGAUGUUCUGGGCCGCGCACGCGCUACACUGAAGGAGGCAGCGUGUACUCCUGGAUCGAAAGAUUUGGGUAACCCGCGAAUCUCCUUCGUGCUAGGGAUUGAGGUUUGCAAUUAUCCUUCAUGAACGAGGAAUUCCCAGUAAGUGCAAGUCAUAAGCUUGCGCUGACUACGUCCCUGCCCUUUGUACACACCGCCCGUCGCUACUACCGAUUGAAUGAUUUAGUGAGGACUUCGGACUGGGACCGAUGCGGCUUUCGGGCUGCGUCGGUAUUCUGGAAAGAUGUCCAAACUGUAUCAUUUAGAGGAAGUAAAAGUCGUANCA